rnacentral:lncRNA from 1 species
CCCAAGGCACCCCAAGUUGAUUCAAGGAUGCCGUAAAAUCCUAAGCUUGGGGAUGCCCCGGGAAGGCAUCCCCUUUUUCGUCUUCAAUCCAUCGGUAACGUUACUUGGGCUAUAUUUUUAUUCAGCACAUGUUAUGUGUUUUGCUUGGAGCGUCUUUUAUCGUAGGAGUCUUUUAUUUUUGUUGUGUCACAAUCUUACUUGCUGCACACCUAGAGAUAGAGACAUGCACUCACCGUGAUUUUGUCGAGCUUCACUUAUAUCCUUUGGUUAGACAAUUCAGCUCACAUGUGCUUCACUUAUAUCUUUUGAGCUAGUUGAUUUUGCUCUGUGUGCUGCACUUAUAUCUUUUAGAGCACAGAAGCGCGUGGCUUGGUAGUUGAUCUAUGCUAUGAAAGUAGUCUCAAAAGGGGUAGUUAUCCAAAGGGAUAUGAAAACUUCCAUCUCCAUGUGCAUUGAAUAGUUAGAGAAGUUUGAUUCGUCUCAAUUAGUUUUGAGAUGUGGUUGUGG